rnacentral:sRNA from 1 species
AAAGAAUAAUUCUGUAUAUAAACAGUGGGGGUAGAUAAAUCUAUCUUUUAUAGUCGUAUCUCUCCUAUUUAUAAAAAUCUACAAAAACCAGGUAUUUUCUCAUUAUUUUAAUGGAAUUAUUUCCUAACAAACUUGAUAGUAUUGGAUAAAAUUAAAGUUUAUUCUAAACUGUUAAGUUGUAGGUCCUUGGAAAAUUUGCUUUGUUAACUCUUUUGUCAUGUGGAGAGAGAGAGAGAUGGAGGGGAGAGAAUUAGUUAGCUAGGGUUCUUAAGAAUACCUUUUAUCAUUACAUACCCUGUAUUUUUAAAUAGCUAUGUUUUGCCCCUCAAAAAGUAUUCAAAAUAAAUACUAACAGAAAUUCAAUAUUGUAAUAUAUUUUAGUAAUUUUUUUGUAUCUUAAUGUUAGGUCUUCAAACAUGAACUAGCUUACUUAUUGGCUGGAAUUCUUGGAGCAGCAAUAGAUUAUUGGAUUUUCCUUGGUCUUAAGAUGGGUAGAAAUGUGAUGCGACACAUGUCUGAUGACUUAGGAAGUUAUGUUUCUCUUUCGUGUGAUGACUUUUCUUCACAGGAAUUAGAGAUUUUCAUUUGCUCCUUUUCCUCCUCCUGGCUUCAAAUGUUUGUUGCAGAGGCAGUCUUUAAAAAGUUGUGUCUACAGAGCUCUGGCAGUGUUUCUUCUGAGCCACUCUCUCUUCAGAAAAUGGUAUAUUCCUAUUUACCAGCCUUGGGGAAAACUGGUGUGCUUGGGUCUGGAAAGAUUCAGGUAUCAAAGAAAAUAGGACAGCGGCCUUGUUUUGACUCUCAGAGAGCCUUACUAAUGCUGAAUGGUACUAAACAAAAACAAGUCGAAGGGCUGCCAGAGUUACCAGACCUGAACCUUGCUAAAUGUUCCUCAUCAUUAAAAAAAUUGAAAAAGAAGUCAGAAGGAGAAUUGUCAUGUUCCAAGGAGAAUUGCCCCUCUGUAGUUAAAAAGAUGAAUUUUCACAAGACUAAUCUAAAAGGAGAAACAGCCCUGCAUAGAGCUUGCAUAAAUAACCAAGUGGAGAAAUUGAUUCUUCUUCUCUCUUUGCCAGGAAUAGACAUCAAUGUUAAAGACAAUGCUGGCUGGACGCCUUUGCAUGAAGCCUGUAACUAUGGCAACACAGUGUGUGUCCAGGAAAUUUUGCAACGUUGUCCAGAGGUAGAUCUGCUCACUCAAGUGGACGGGGUGACUCCUUUGCAUGAUGCACUGUCAAACGGACAUGUAGAAAUUGGCAAGCUGCUACUACAGCAUGGGGGCCCAGUGCUUUUACAACAGAGGAAUGCUAAGGGAGAAUUGCCCUUGGAUUAUGUGGUUUCACCUCAAAUCAAAGAAGAACUGUUUGCUAUUACAAAAAUAGAAGAUACAGUGGAGAACUUUCAUGCACAAGCAGAGAAACAUUUUCAUUACCAGCAACUUGAAUUUGGCUCCUUUUUACUUAGUAGGAUGUUGCUAAAUUUUUGUUCAAUUUUUGAUUUAUCUUCAGAGUUCAUUUUAGCUUCCAAAGGGUUAACUCAUCUAAAUGAACUGCUUAUGGCUUGUAAAAGUCAUAAAGAAACCACCAGUGUUCAUACUGACUGGUUACUGGAUCUUUAUGCUGGAAAUAUAAAGACAUUGCAGAAACUCCCACACAUUCUUAAGGAACUGCCUGAGGAUUUGAAAGUGUGUCCUGGGGUACACACUGAGGCCUUGAUGGUAACAUUGGAAAUGAUGUGUCGGUCAGUCAUGGAGUUUUCAUGAUGAUGCUAGAAAGUAUGGAUUGACUUUCUAAAUCUGUUCAGUUUGCAUUGGUACUUACUGUGGACUUCAUAGCUUACUGACAGAUAGUAAUUUGAUUUAUUUAUUGACAGACUUUGCAGCCUUGCUAAAUUUUAAAAGCAUUUUUUAAAAAACUUCUACAAAACUCUAGUAUGGGCUUCUGACUUUUUCCAGGGUGUGGAAUUUGACUCAAAAGUAAAAAUAAUUUUGUUUUAGUAUAUUCUACUUUCAUUAAUUUUUUUUGUUCUGAAAGUGAUAUUAUAUUGUACAUGUAAAAUUAAUUUAAAUAUUUUUUCAAAUCAAAAUAUAAUGUCCUGUAUUCUAGAUGUUCUAGGUCUUAGAAUCAUGGCAAGCAUAUUCAUACAAAUGCGUACCUAUAAACUUGUAGCUCCUGACUCUUAGGGAUGGAUUUUGAGGAAAAAACAAGACUAAACAAAAACAUGUAGCUCCCUAUUUCUUCUCUCCAGGUUGUUGGACUGAAAUAUGCAUUUUAGCUUUGUGUGUUUCUAAAAUAAACAUUUCUAAAAUUUACAGUAAUAA